rnacentral:rRNA from 1 species
AGAGUUUGAUCAUGGCUCAGGAUGAACGCUAGCGGGAGGCCUAACACAUGCAAGCCGAGCGGUAGAGAUUCGUUCGGAUCUUGAGAGCGGCGUACGGGUGCGGAACACGUGUGACAACCUACCUUUAUCUGGAGGAUAGCCUUUCGAAAGGAAGAUUAAUACUCCAUAAUAUAUUGAUUGGCAUCGAUUGAUAUUGAAAGCUCCGGCGGAUAGAGAUGGGCACGCGCAAGAUUAGCUAGUUGGUGAGGUAACGGCUCACCAAGGCGAUGAUCUUUAGGGGGCCUGAGAGGGUGAUCCCCCACACUGGUACUGAGACACGGACCAGACUCCUACGGGAGGCAGCAGUGAGGAAUAUUGGUCAAUGGGUGCAAGCCUGAACCAGCCAUCCCGCGUGAAGGACGACUGCCCUAUGGGUUGUAAACUUCUUUUGUAUAGGGAUAAACCUACCCUCGUGAGGGUAGCUGAAGGUACUAUACGAAUAAGCACCGGCUAACUCCGUG